AUGGACAUGUUUCGAGGGUCGCUUGAUGCUGCCGCCGCAGCCGCAGCUACCAUCGGCAGAUCUGACAAGGUCGCCGGUAUUCUUAACAAGAGGUUAGAUGAUGAUCUGGGCGAAAUAGUCCUGGAAAUCCAUAGCAGCGACGAAUCUACAGUGCAUCCAGCAAAUGUCGUUCUCAUACAAGCGCUGGCUAUUUCCCGUGCUAGUAACACCAUUUACCCUUACUCUGAUUUGGUUGAUUGGUGGGUGUCCAGGCUCGAGAAAGAUGCAGAAUUGGUACGCCAAGGUGAACAGGGUGGAAAAUACAUAUUCCUCCUGAAUAACACAUUUGAUGUUCUGCAAAUGGUGCGGCGUCAAAGAGCAUCUUCUGCAAGUGACCAACUCGCGAGUAGGCUCGGUUCAGUGAUCGAGGGGUACAAGAGGAGUUACUUGGACGAGUGUUGGGCUCCUCUGAACCGUUUAAACUUGGAGGAGUUUACUGCCCAAUUUCUUGCUACAUGUGAAUGUCAGAUGACAUGGAAGGUUACAGCUGAGCUCAGGUACCAACUGCGGCGGGAGAUCGUGGAUCUGAUUGUUCCAUCGUAUGAGGUGUCCUUAUCUGCACUGCGGGGCCUGAAUGGACCUAUGGUGGGCAACAAGAAACAGAAGAAGUAUACUGGUGAGCAACUGGAAGAGGAGAUCAGAGGAUUAUUUGAAGGGUGA
rnacentral:rRNA from 1 species